UUUGUGACAUUUUAAGAGGGCGGAAACGGCCGCCAUAAACGACGGCUGCACAAAUCACCAAGAUGACAUUUUAAUUAUGCAGUUAUGCUGCUUUAGUCACAACUAAGAGCGUCACAGGAGCUGCGGAGGAAGAAAAAGAUGGCAGGUGGGCGGCAAACGAAGGACGCAUCGACAUCAGCCAAGUGGGGACGGCACAGAUGGGAGCAGAUAGGAACAGAAAAAUGGGGAAAUAAAAAAUAAAAAUCCCCUUCAUCACCAGCCUGGACCCUCUCAGGCAGGAACAAACAAACCAACCCCAAUGAAGAUGCCGCCCGAGCUUCCCACUUGCGUGGGCCGCCCGAGGGAGGGGUGCGUUUGAUUUGUACUUCUGUGAAGAGCCGUCAGGCUCACAAUCAGCGAGGAAGAUGAGGGAUGGCGUUUAAGAAGAAGAAGAACAUGAGGAGGGAGUUUACACCCACCACCUAAAAAGAUGAGAUGAUUGUGUGUGUGUGUGUGUGUGUGUGUGUGUGUGUGUGUGUGUGUGUGUGUGGUAGCUCAGCAUCCUGUCGAGCAUCCGUCAAGAGACCACCAUGAGCCCACACAGCCGUCUCUCGUCGUCUGCUGAACAGGUGCACUUCCUGCACAUCUCCUGGUGGGCAGUCCCUGGAUGGGUUGGAGGCUCGUCCACUGAGCAACACACACACCCCACCCCUCCCCUCUUCUCCCGCUUGUGAGUCAGUCGUCACUGAUCACAAAAUAAAAAAUCCCUGCCCUACAAAACCCAUCCGCCCACGCCCGGUCCUGCCUUUGCACUCGUCGGUUUUGUAACAUCGACCGCUGCUGACGCACCUAAAAACUAUGGCGCAUUUUCCCGAAAUGGCACGUUGUGCCUUUUCGUGAGCGUGUUCCUUUGCCGCUUCCACGACACAGCCGCUUCAAGCUUGGUCCAUGUUGAAGUACUACUAUUUCAACUACUACUUCGGUCUGCUACUAAGACCGGCUGGAGGUGUGGGGCAAAGAUGUGAAAACUAAAUGAUUUUGGUCCAGAUCCGAAUAAAGGUGCAUUUAACAUCACAUUCAAUUCCCAGUAAAUAAAGCAUAAGGUGUGCAGUGUUUCCUAUACAUUCAUUGGGCCCUCUUGAAAAUGCCAUUGUAUGUUUUAUUAUACACUCAGAUCAACAUUUUAAGAAAAUUUGCAAGAAUUUAAGUUUUGCACUGUUGGAUCUUAAGGAGGUUCUAAGUAGAGCUUCAAAAUGCAAAAAGAAGAAAAGAGAAUGAGACAAAAAAAAGUUGAAGUUAGCAAUUUAUUGUAAAGAAGCAUUAAAGUGAAAUAGGCUGUUCAUCAAAGUUGAACAGCACAGCCUUUAAAAGGCAAAAUGUUGGCAAAAAUGAGGAUCGUAUGUGAUUUAGUGUGAGGUACAUGAUCUCAUGAUGGCAAAGGCAAAAAAAGCUUUCUCUUUGAACACGGUGGGAUUGUUGAGCUGCAUAAGCAAGGCUUCUUGCAGCGCUCCAUUGCUGCUGAGGUUGGACGCAGUACGACAGUCAUUUGAAACUUCUUCAAACAUCCUGAGGCUCAUGGAACAAGAAAGUCAAGUGGUACACCCGAAAAAAUGUCACCGACCCUGAGCCGGAGGAUCCCAUUGGCUGUCCGUCAAGACACGGGACCAUCCCCGGCCCAAAUGAAGGUUGUUACUGGUGCUGAGUGCAGCCCGAUAACCAUCAGACGCCUUCUGCCAGAGAACGCUUUUAUGAAGGAAAAAAGCUCUUCAAAGGCUUCAUCUCAGAGCACCAAACAUGAGACAUUGAAAGGUGGAAGAAAGUUUUAUUUUCCCUUGACGGUCCUGAUGGCUGAUGGCGGGCCGCACGGUGGUCUAGUGGUUAGCACGUUGGCCGACACAGUAACAGCCUGGAGAUCGGGAAGACCUGGGUUCGAUUCUCCCUUUGGCAUUUCUGUGUGGAGUUUGCAUGUUCUCUGUGCGCGUGGGUUUUCUCCAGGUACUCCGGUUUCUUCUCACAUUCCAAAAACUUGCAGGUGAGGUUAAUUGGUGACUCUAAAUUGUCCAUAGGUGUGAAUGUGAGUGUGAAUGGUUGUUUGUCUAUAUGUGCCCUGCCAUUGGCUGGUAACCAGUCCAGGGUGUACCCCACCUGUCACCCGAAGUCAACUGGGAUAGGCUCCCGCGACCCUAAUGAGGAGAAGUGGUAUAGAAAAUGGAUGGAUGGAUGGUCUUGAUGGCUUCCAACGUUACUGGCAUGACAAGGAGAUCCCACCUGAGAUGUUUCCCACACGGCACAGUGGAGGGGGUGCCAUCACGAUCCGUCAAUGGAACAAUGGAGCUUCAGGUUGUGCACGGCUAUGUGGAGAUGUUGCAGGGGGCAUCCCUCAUGACUGAAGGCCCUCGUCUGUGUGGUAAUGACUGACUUUUUCAACAGGACAACGCUGCACAUAAGGACCUCUUCCAGAGGAGUAAGCUCACUCUUUUGUACCAUCUUGAAUGUUCCCCUCAUCUGAAUCCAAUGGAGAACAUUUGGGGAUGGAUGGCAAGGGAAGUUUCUAAAAAUGGACAUCAGUUUCAGACAGUGGAUGCCCUCCAUGAAGCCAUCUUCACCACCUGGAGCAACAUUCCCACUAGCCUCCUGGAAACACUGGCAUCAAGGAUGCCCAAACCCAUUUUUCAGCUCAUUAACAAGAAUGGCACAGCUACUCGUUACUCACUCCUUUUUUCAACAUUUUAUAUUUUUAAAUGUUUGGGUUUUUUUAAGCCAUGGUCUUAAACUUUUGAUCAGCUGAUGAACAGACAAUUUCACGUUAAUGCUUGAUUGCGAGAAAUUUUUGUCUCACUCCCAUUUAUUCUUUUUGCAUUUUGAAGCUCUACUCACAACUUCAGUUGUGCAACAGUGCAACAUGUACAUUUUUGUAAUUUUUCAACUGAUCUUAAAAUUUUAUCAGGAGUGUGUAUUGUCAGUGGCUUUUCUUGCAAUUUGGAGGGCCUUAAAAUGCACAAAAGCUCACCAAAAUUUGCAAGCACGUCAGAUUUGGAUGAAAAACUUGAUAUUUCAGAGGUCCCAAAUGCAAACCCCCAAAACUCACUCAGUAGUGCCCCUGCCACCACUUUCACAGAACGUCACAAAAUUUGCUGGUGACGUCAAUCAUGACAGGACACAUUAAAAAAAAGUCUGAAAAACCCAUGUUCCAAAACCAACAGGAAGUCGGCCAUUUUGGUUUCCGGUGGCAAUUUUGGAUGAAAACCAGGGGAUGUAUUUCAACAAACUAGUCCUCGGGACUUCGGCCAAAUGAGCCCAAAUGGGGUGGGGCAUGGCAACAAACUUUGAUGAUCAAUCAGACAAUUCGCCACUAAAGUGUAAAUAAUAAUAACUCAAUUCCACAAGGUCAGAUCUUCAUAUUAAUUUGUACAUACGAAGACGACACCUUGAAGCUAUGCCUAGAUCACUUCCUGAAUUCGUCUCAGCGCCACCCAGUGGCAAAAGCCCUCCAAAAAGCACCCCCACACUGGGUUGUGUGGGGGUGCGAGGGCCCAUUCAGCGUUGCUCGCAGCAUUCAUUUAUUUGUAUUCUUUAUUGUAUUAUUUUUAUAUUUCUAUUAUUAUAUAUAUUUCUAUUAUUUUCUUUUCUUUUUUGGGGGGGCUCAAAACACAGACAUACCUGGUCUGCCAGAGAAGAAGAAGAUGGAACAGGAGGGAUCAGUGUUGCCAAAUAUUUAGCGAAUUAUCAGACCCCUCCCUUAAUUUGCUUUGCUUUUUGUUAACGUGUUUUGCAAUUCUUGGCCACCACAGUUAAUACAUAAAGUGGUUUGAAAAAGUGUUUGCCCCCUUCCUGAUUUUGUGUUUGUUUGUGCGUGUUUGUCACACUUAAAUGUUUCAGAUCAUCAAACAAAUGUAAAUAUUAGUUAAUGACAACACAACUGAACACAACAUUUUUUAAUGAUUUGUUUUAUUAUUAAGGGAGAAAAAAAAUCCAAAGCUACAUGGUCCUGUGCGAAAUAGUGAUUACCCCCUAAACCUAAUAAGUGGUUGGGCUGCAACUGCAACUGCAAUCAAGCAUUUGCUUGUGACUUGUGACGUGUGACAGACAUGCAAAAAAAUAAGAAAUCAGGAAGGCGGCAAACACUUUUUCACGCCACUGUAUAAAACUAAUUGUGUCCUGUCAUUUAUUUUCCAUUCAUAACAAACAGCGGAAAUGGGCAUAUUUCACACAUUGUGGCAAAGAGUGAUUAAUCAUGAUUAAUUAAUUUGAAAACUGAUUAAUUUGAUUAAAAUUGGUAAUCAUUUGCCAGCCCUAAUGAAAACUCAACGAAGCACUCGCACACGCCGCACGCAACACACGCACACACUCAUAGCACUUUAUUUAUUUAUUUAUUUGUAUUAUUUACUUGUAUUAAUGUCUCGUCUGUUGUUGUUGCUUAAUUUAUUGGUAUAUAUGUUUAUGUGUUUAUGUUUCUUAUGUUCUUAUUCUUUCAUUUGUUUUCUUUCUUUUCUUGGGAGAAUGAACAGAAUAAGAUUUUCAUUGCAUGGUAUAACUGCUGUUUUACCAUGCACAUGACAAUAAAACUCUCUUGAAUCUUGAAUCUUGAGAUUGGAAGAACACAAGAAUUCAAAUGAAUCUAAAUAUGUUGACACUAGUCAGACAGUCCGAGCGGUGUCAAGAUAAAUGGAUUCCACAAAAUAUAGUGAAAAAAGUAUUUAAAAAAAAAAAAGUGAAAUGGUUUUGUUGUAUCCGCCAGUAAUAAUUUAAUGAAUGAAUGAAUUGAUUUGAAAGUCCCCCAUAAAGGAUAAAUAAGGUAGUGAUACUUUUACUAAAACUUGUGACUUUAUUUACUUCAUGUGCUGGUCCAUUUGUGACAUUAUAUUAUAGUUUCAUAGGCACCCCUGCACAUCUAAUGACUUCCGAUACAAGAGCUGUGCUCUAACAGCAGUUUUUUUGUAAUUACUUACAGUAUAUUUCCAUGCUUUUCCUUCUGCUGUGGACAGCUUGCUUUGUUUUGUUUGGAGGCUGUGUGUGUUUGUGUGCCGCACAGCAACAGUCGAUUGUAUUACGGAAGCCAUUUUUCUUACGCCAAGCCAUAUCUCACACGCAAACCCAAUCAUAGAAAUGAUGUCAUGCUAAUUAGAAUGGAUGUCGCUGUGUGAAGGAAGAGGGAGGAGGACUAUUUGUCUGUUUCUUGUCUGAGGCUGUCUGCCCGGCCGGCCGCACGCUCCAUCAUACUUUAAAUAUUCAUAGCAACCCCGCUGAAUAUGCAUGAGGCUGCCGUUAAUAUUUAUGAGUCUCACUUGUUGAGGUGUCAUUCCAUCUCUUUGACAUGCUGGAUGAUGAUUGGGGCGUUUAGUUGUGUUCACGUACACGCCCCACUGAUGCAUG